rnacentral:misc_RNA from 1 species
UGUACUAUCAACACUCUCAACUGUAGGCAC